GAUGAACGCUGGCGGCGUGCCUAAUACAUGCAAGUCGAGCGAACAGACGAGGAGCUUGCUCCUCUGACGUUAGCGGCGAACUGGUGAGUAACACGUGGAUAACCUACCUAUAAGACUGGGAUAACUUCGGGAAACCGGAGCUAAUACCGGAUAAUAUAUUGAACCGCAUGGUUCAAUAGUGAAAGACGGUUUUGCUGUCACUUAUAGAUGGAUCCGCGCCGCAUUAGCUAGUUGGUAAGGUAACGGCUUACCAAGGCGACGAUGCGUAGCCGACCUGAGAGGGUGAUCGGCCACACUGGAACUGAGACACGGUCCAGACUCCUACGGGAGGCAGCAGUAGGGAAUCUUCCGCAAUGGGCGAAAGCCUGACGGAGCAACGCCGCGUGAGUGAUGAAGGUCUUCGGAUCGUAAAACUCUGUUAUUAGGGAAGAACAAAUGUGUAAGUAACUAUGCACGUCUUGACGGUACCUAAUCAGAAAGCCUCGGCUAACUACGUG
rnacentral:rRNA from 1 species